CAAUAGCGUAUAUUUAAGUUGUUGCAGUUAAAAAGCUCGUAGUUGGAUUUCGGAUGGGAUUUGCCGGUCCGUCGUUACGAUGUGCACUGGCCAGUCCUAUCUUGUUGUCGGGGACUAGCUCCUUGGAUUCACUUCCUGGGACUAGGAGCUGACGAGGUUACUUUGAGUAAAUUAGAGUGUUCAAAGCAAGCCUACGCUCUGAAUACAUUAGCAUGGAAUAACACGAUAGGACUCUGGCUUAUCUUGUUGGUCUGUGAGACCAGAGUAAUGAUUAAGAGGGACAGACGGGGGCAUUCGUAUUGCUACGUUAGAGGUGAAAUUCUUGGAUCGUAGCACGACGAACAACUGCGAAAGCAUUUGCCAAGAAUGUUUUCAUUAA
rnacentral:rRNA from 1 species